rnacentral:rRNA from 1 species
AGCGAACGUUAGCGGCGCGCCUAACACAUGCAAGUCGCACGAGAAAGGGGGCAACCCCCGGUACAGUGGCGCACGGGUGAGUAACACGUGGAUGACCUGCCCUGGAGUGGUGGAUAACCUUCCGAAAGGAGGGCUAAUACAGCAUGAGACCACGCGCCUGCGGGCGCGGGGUCAAAGUGGGCCUCUAUUCAUAAGCCCACGCUCUAGGAGGGGUCCGCGGCCCAUCAGCUCGUUGGUGAGGUAAUGGCUCACCAAGGCAUCGACGGGUAG